ACUGCUCAGUAACACGUGGAUAACCUGCCCUUGGGUCCGGCAUAACCCCGGGAAACUGGGGAUAAUUCCGGAUAACGCAUAUGUGCUGGAAUGCUUUAUGCGUCAAAUGGAUUCGUCUGCCCAAGGAUGGGUCUGCGGCCUAUCAGGUAGUAGUGGGUGUAAUGUACCUACUAGCCGACAACGGGUACGGGUUGUGAGAGCAAGAGCCCGGAGAUGGAUUCUGAGACAUGAAUCCAGGCCCUACGGGGCGCAGCAGGCGCGAAAACUUUACAAUGCGGGAAACCGUGAUAAGGGGACACCGAGUGUCAGCAUCAUAUGCUGGCUGUCCAGGUGUGUAAAAUACACCUGUUAGCAAGGGCCGGGCAAGACCGGUGCCAGCCGCCGCGGUAACACCGGCGGCCCGAGUGGUGAUCGUGAUUAUUGGGUCUAAAGGGUCCGUAGCCGGUUUGGUCAGUCCUCCGGGAAAUCUGAUAGCUCAACUAUUAGGCUAUCGGGGGAUACUACCAGACUUGGAACCGGGAGAGGUAAGAGGUACUACAGGGGUAGGAGUGAAAUCUUGUAAUCCCUGUGGGACCACCUGUGGCGAAGGCGUCUUACCAGAACGGGUUCGACGGUGAGGGACGAAAGCUGGGGGCACGAACCGGAUUAGAUACCCGGGUAGUCCCAGCCGUAAACGAUGCUCGCUAGGUGUCAGGCAUGGCGCGACCGUGUCUGGUGCCGCAGGGAAGCCGUGAAGCGAGCCACCUGGGAAGUACGGCCGCAAGGCUGAAACUUAAAGGAAUUGGCGGGGGAGCA
rnacentral:rRNA from 1 species